CCUACGGGCGGCAGCAGUGAGGAAUAUUGGUCAAUGGACGAGAGUCUGAACCAGCCAAGUAGCGUGAAGGAUGACUGCCCUAUGGGUUGUAAACUUCUUUUAUAAAGGAAUAAAACGAGGCACGUGUCCCUCUUUGCAUGUACUUUAUGAAUAAGGAUCGGCUAACUCCGUGCCAGCAGCCGCGGUAAUACGGAGGAUCCGAGCGUUAUCCGGAUUUAUUGGGUUUAAAGGGAGCGUAGAUGGGUUUUUAAGUCAGUUGUGAAAGUUUGCGGCUCAACCGUAAAAUUGCAAUUGAUACUGGCAGUCUUGAGUACAGUUGAGGCAGGCGGAAGUCGUGGUGUAGCGGUGAAAUGCUUAGAUAUCACGAAGAACCCCGAUUGCGAAGGCAGCUUACUAAACUGUGACUGACAUUGAUGCUCGAAAGUGUGGGUAUCAAACAGGAUUAGAUACCCGGGUAGUC
rnacentral:rRNA from 1 species